rnacentral:tRNA from 1 species
GGGGUUGUGGCUCAGUGGUAAAGCACUUACCUAGCACAUGCAAGGGACUGGGUUUGAUCCUCAGCACCACA